UACGUAGGGGGCUAGCGUUGUCCGGAAUCAUUGGGCGUAAAGAGCGUGUAGGCGGCCCGGUAAGUCCGCUGUGAAAGUCCAGGGCUCAACCCUGGAAAGCCGGUGGAUACUGUCGGGCUAGAGUCCGGAAGAGGAGAGUGGAAUUCCUGGUGUAGCGGUGAAAUGCGCAGAUAUCAGGAAGAACACCCGUGGCUAAGGCGGCUCUCUAGUACGGUACUGACGCUGAGACGCGAAAGCGUGGGGAGCGAACAGG
rnacentral:rRNA from 1 species